UGCUACAGGCUUAACACAUGCAAGUCGAGGGGCAUCAGGAAGAAAGCUUGCUUUCUUUGCUGGCGACCGGCGCACGGGUGAGUAACACGUAUCCAACCUGCCCUUUACUCGGGGAUAGCCUUUCGAAAGAAAGAUUAAUACCCGAUGGCAUAAUGAUUCCGCAUGGUUUCAUUAUUAAAGGAUUCCGGUAAAGGAUGGGGAUGCGUUCCAUUAGGUUGUUGGUGAGGUAACGGCCCACCAAGCCUUCGAUGGAUAGGGGUUCUGAGAGGAAGGUCCCCCACAUUGGAACUGAGACACGGUCCAAACUCCUACGGGAGGCAGCAGUGAGGAAUAUUGGUCAAUGGGCGGUAGCCUGAACCAGCCAAGUAGCGUGAAGGAUGAAGGCUCUAUGGGUCGUAAACUUCUUUUAUAUAAGAAUAAAGUGCAGUAUGUAUACUGUUUUGUAUGUAUUAUAUGAAUAAGGAUCGGCUAACUCCGUGCCAGCAGCCGCGGUAAUACGGAGGAUCCGAGCGUUAUCCGGAUUUAUUGGGUUUAAAGGGAGCGUAGGUGGACUGAUAAGUCAGUUGUGAAAGUUCGCGGCUCAACCGUAAAAUUGCAGUUGAUACUGUCAGUCUUGAGUACAGUAGAGGUGGGCGGAAUUCGUGGUGUAGCGGUGAAAUGCUUAGAUAUCACGAAGAACUCCGAUUGCGAAGGCAGCUCACUGGACUGCAACUGACACUGAUGCUCGAAAGUGUGGGUAUCAAACAGGAUUAGAUACCCUGGUAGUCCACACAGUAAACGAUGAAUACUCGCUGUUUGCGAUAUACAGUAAGCGGCCAAGCGAAAGCAUUAAGUAUUCCACCUGGGGAGUACGCCGGCAACGGUGAAACUCAAAGGAAUUGACGGGGGCCCGCACAAGCGGAGGAACAUGUGGUUUAAUUCGAUGAUACGCGAGGAACCUUACCCGGGCUUAAAUUGCAGUGGAAUGAUGUGGAAACAUGUCAGUGAGCAAUCACCGCUGUGAAGGUGCUGCAUGGUUGUCGUCAGCUCGUGCCGUGAGGUGUCGGCUUAAGUGCCAUAACGAGCGCAACCCUUAUCUUCAGUUACUAACAGGUCAUGCUGAGGACUCUGGAGAGACUGCCGUCGUAAGAUGUGAGGAAGGUGGGGAUGACGUCAAAUCAGCACGGCCCUUACGUCCGGGGCUACACACGUGUUACAACGGGGGGUACAGAAGGCAGCUAGCGGGUGACCGUAUGCUAAUCCCAAAAGCCUCUCUCAGUUCGGAUCGAAGUCUGCAACCCGACUUCGUGAAGCUGGAUUCGCUAGUAAUCGCGCAUCAGCCACGGCGCGGUGAAUACGUUCCCGGGCCUUGUACACACCGCCCGUCAAGCCAUGGGAGCCGGGGGUACCUGAAGUACGUAACCGCAAGGAUCGUCCUAGGGUAAAACUGGUGACUGGGGC
rnacentral:rRNA from 1 species